GUCUGUGGCCAUGCCACCCUGAACAAGCUCAGUGUCUGAUCUCGGAAGCUAAACAGGGUCAGGCCUGGUUAGUAAUUGGGUGAGAGACCACCUAAGAAGACCAGGUGCUAUAGGCA
rnacentral:rRNA from 1 species